rnacentral:rRNA from 1 species
ACCCCUGAGUGAGGAAUAACGUAGAGAAAUUUGCGCUAAUACCUCAUAAUGUCUUCGGACCAAAGAUUUAUCGCUCAGGGAUCAGCCCGCGUCAGAUUAGAUAGUUGGUGAGGUAACGGCUCACCAAGUCGACGAUCUGUAGGGGGUCUGAGAGGAUGAUCCCCCACACUGGUACUGAGACACGGACCAGACUCCUACGGGAGGCAGCAGUGAGGAAUAUUGGACAAUGGAGGAAACUCUGAUCCAGCCAUGCCGCGUGAGUGAAGAAGGCCUUAGGGUUGUAAAGCUCUUUCAAUUGUGAAGAUAAUGACGGUAGCAAUACAAGAAGCUCCGGCUAAAUUCGUGCCAGCAGCCGCGGUAAUACGAAUGGAGCAAGCGUUGUUCGGAAUCACUGGGCUUAAAGCGUAUGUAGGCGGAAACGAAAGUCAGGAGUGAAAUCCCGGGGCUCAACCUCGGAACUGCUCUUGAAACUUCGUUUCUAGAAUCCUGGAGAGGUUAGGAGAAUUCCGAGUGUAGAGGUGAAAUUCGCAGAUAUUCGGAGGAAUACCAGUGGCGUAGCGCCUAACUGGACAGGUAUUGACGCUCAGAUACGAAAGCGUGGGGAGCAAACAGGAUUAGAUACCCUGGUAGUCCACGCCGUAAACGAUGUUUGCUAGUUGUCAGGACCAAAGGUUUUGGUGACGGAGAGAAAUCAUUAAGCAAACCGCCUGGGGAGUACGGCCGCAAGUUAAAACUCAAAGGAAUUGACGGGGACCCGCACAAGCGUGGAGCAUGUUGUUUAAUUCGAAGCAACGCGAAGAACCUUACCCACUCUUGACAUCCUCCUUGGGACUUUCAGAGAUGAUUGUCUUCGGUUCGGCCGGGGG